ACCGUAAAAGUAAAGGAAUUUUUAUUUUAAUUAUGAAGGAGUAAAGUAAAGGAGAGGAAGAGUUUUUUUAAUAGGUAAAAUUUUAAGAAGAUAGUUCUCUCAAGUUGAAAACUUUAAAAAUCCAGAAGUGAAACUAGGAUUAGAUACCCUAUUAUUGUUGGAGGUAAAGAAAUUAGGUAGUAGUAGAGGUCUUGAAACUUAAAGAAUUUGGCGGUGUUUUAAUCUUACCAGAGGAACUUGCGUUAUAAUUCGAAAUUACCCGUUUUAUCUUACUUAAAUUUUGUUUGUAUAUCGUCGUAAAAAUAAAACUUUAAAGUGAAUAUUUUAAGCUAUUAAAUAAAAAAUUACAGAUCAAGGUUCAGCUAUGUUUAAGAAAAACGUGAGUUACAAUAUUUUUAAGAUAUAUGAAUGAUUUUUUGAA
rnacentral:rRNA from 1 species